rnacentral:rRNA from 1 species
ACACAUGCAAGUCGAACGGCAGCACGGACUUCGGUCUGGUGGCGAGUGGCGAACGGGUGAGUAAUGUAUCGGAACGUGCCUAGUAGCGGGGGAUAACUACGCGAAAGCGUAGCUAAUACCGCAUACGCCCUACGGGGGAAAGCAGGGGAUCGCAAGACCUUGCACUAUUAGAGCGGCCGAUAUCGGAUUAGCUAGUUGGUGGGGUAACGGCUCACCAAGGCGACGAUCCGUAGCUGGUUUGAGAGGACGACCAGCCACACUGGGACUGAGACACGGCCCAGACUCCUACGGGAGGCAGCAGUGGGGAAUUUUGGACAAUGGGGGAAACCCUGAUCCAGCCAUCCCGCGUGUGCGAUGAAGGCCUUCGGGUUGUAAAGCACUUUUGGCAGGAAAGAAACGUCAUGGGCUAAUACCCCGUGAAACUGACGGUACCUGCAGAAUAAGCACCG